AGAUUGAACGCUUGGCGGCAUGCCUAACACAUGCAAGUCGAGCGGGCAGCGCGGGGGCGACCCUGGCGGCGAGCGGCGGACGGGUGAGUAAGGCAUCGGAAUCUGCCCUGAUGUGGGGGAUAACGUAGGGAAACUUACGCUUAAUACCGCAUACGACCGAGAGGUGAAAGCGGGGGACCGAAAGGCCUCGCGCAGCAGGAUGAGCCGAUGUCCGAUUAGCUGGUUGGUGGGGUAACGGCCCACCAAGGCGACGAUCGGUAGCUGGUCUUGGAGAGGGAUGAUCAGCCACACUGGGACUGAGACACGGGCCCAGACUCAUACGGGAGGCAGC
rnacentral:rRNA from 1 species